rnacentral:rRNA from 1 species
AUUGAACGCUGGCGGCAGGCCUAACACAUGCAAGUCGAGCGGAUGAAGGGAGCUUGCUCCUGGAUUCAGCGGCGGACGGGUGAGUAAUGCCUAGGAAUCUGCCUGGUAGUGGGGGAUAACGUCCGGAAACGGGCGCUAAUACCGCAUACGUCCUGCGGGAGCAAGUGGGGGAUCUUCGGACCUCACGCUAUCAGAUGAGCCUAGGUCGGAUUAGCUAGUUGGUGGGGUAAAGGCCUACCAAGGCGACGAUCCGUAACUGGUCUGAGAGGAUGAUCAGUCACACUGGAACUGAGACACGGUCCAGACUCCUACGGGAGGCAGCAGUGGGGAAUGUUGGACAAUGGGCGAAAGCCUUAUCCAGCCAUGCCGCGUGUGUGAAGAAGGUCUUCGGAUUGUAAAGCACUUUAAGUUGUGGUGAAGGGCAGUAAGUUAAUACCUUGCUGUUUUGACGUUACCAACAGAAUAAGCACCGGCUAACUUCGUG